GACGGAAGGUGCAAGCGUUGCUCGGAAUCACUGGGCGUAAAGGGUGCGUAGGCGGCCGCGCAAGUCUGGCGUGAAAGCCCCGGGCUCAGCCCGGGAAGGGCGCUCGAAACGGCGCGGCUCGAGUGCCGGAGGGGAGAGUGGAAUUCCUGGUGUAGCGGUGAAAUGCGCAGAUAUCAGGAGGAACACCGGUGGCGAAGGCGGAUCUCUGGGCCAUUACUGACGCUGAGGAGCGAAAGCGUGGGGAGCGAACAGG
rnacentral:rRNA from 1 species